rnacentral:rRNA from 1 species
ACGGGUGAGUAACACGUGGAUAACCUACCUAUAAGACUGGGAUAACUUCGGGAAACCGGAGCUAAUACCGGAUAACAUAUUGAACCGCAUGGUUCAAUAGUGAAAGGCGGCUUUGCUGUCACUUAUAGAUGGAUCCGCGCCGUAUUAGCUAGUUGGUAAGGUAACGGCUUACCAAGGCAACGAUACGUAGCCGACCUGAGAGGGUGAUCGGCCACACUGGAACUGAGACACGGUCCAGACUCCUACGGGAGGCAGCAGUAGGGAAUCUUCCGCAAUGGGCGAAAGCCUGACGGAGCAACGCCGCGUGAGUGAUGAAGGUCUUCGGAUCGUAAAACUCUGUUAUCAGGGAAGAACAAAUGUGUAAGUAACUGUGCACAUCUUGACGGUACCUGAUCAGAAAGCCACGGCUAACUACGUGCCAGCAGCCGCGGUAAUGCGUAGGUGGCAAGCGUUAUCCGGAAUUAAUGGGCGUAAAGCGCGCGUAGGCGGUUUUUUAAGUCUGAUGUGAAAGCCCACGGCUCAACCGUGGAGGGUCAUUGGAAACUGGAAAACUUGAGUGCAGAAGAGGAAAGUGGAAUUCC